rnacentral:rRNA from 1 species
UACGUAGGAUGCAAGCGUUGUCCGGAAUUAUUGGGCGUAAAGAGCUCGUAGGCGGUUUGUCGCGUCGAAUGUGAAAACCCGGGGCUCAACCCCGGGCCUGCAUUCGAUACGGGCAGACUAGAGUUCGGUAGGGGAGUCUGGAAUUCCUGGUGUAGCGGUGAAAUGCGCAGAUAUCAGGAGGAACACCGGUGGCGAAGGCGGGACUCUGGGCCGAUACUGACGCUGAGGAGCGAAAGCGUGGGGAGCGAACAGG